rnacentral:rRNA from 1 species
AGUCAAGCAAGAAAAGGCGAAUGGUGGAUACCUUGGCACACAGAG